rnacentral:rRNA from 1 species
CGAACGGGAAACAUUUUAUUGAAGCUUCGGCAGAUUUAGAUUGUUUCUAGUGGCGGACGGGUGAGUAACGCGUGGGUAACCCGCCUUAUACCGGGGGAUAACAGCCAGAAAUGACUGCUAAUACCGCAUAAGCGCACAGAACCGCAUGGUUCGGUGUGAAAAACUCCGGUGGUAUAAGAUGGACCCGCGUUGGAUUAGCUGGUUGGCAGGGCAGCGGCCUACCAAGGCGACGAUCCAUAGCCGGCCUGAGAGGGUGAACGGCCACAUUGGGACUGAGACACGGCCCAGACUCCUACGGGAGGCAGCAGUGGGGAAUAUUGCACAAUGGGGGAAACCCUGAUGCAGCGACGCCGCGUGAAGGAAGAAGUAUCUCGGUAUGUAAACUUCUAUCAGCAGGGAAGGUAAUGACGGUACCUGACUAAGAAGCCCCGGCUAACUACGUGCCAGCAGCCGCGGUAAUACGUAGGGGGCAAGCGUUAUCCGGAUUUACUGGGUGUAAAGGGAGCGUAGACGGCGCAGCAAGUCUGAUGUGAAAGGCAGGGGCUUAACCCCUGGACUGCAUUGGAAACUGCUGUGCUUGAGUGCCGGAGGGGUAAGCGGAAUUCCUAGUGUAGCGGUGAAAUGCGUAGAUAUUAGGAGGAACACCAGUGGCGAAGGCGGCUUACUG